CACACCGCCCGUCACACCAUGGGAGUUGGCUGCACCAGAAGUAGGUAGCUUAACCGCAAGGAGGGCGCUUACCACGGUGUGGUCAAUGACGUGGGGUG
rnacentral:rRNA from 1 species